GAUGAAGAACGUAGCGAAAUGCGAUAAGUAGUGUGAAUUGCAGAAUUCAGUGAAUCAUCGAAUCUUUGAACGCACAUUGCGCCCUUUGGUAUUCCAAAGGGCAUGCCUGUUCGAGCGUCAUUUGUACCCUCAAGCUUUGCUUGGUGUUGGGCGUCUUGUCUCUAGCUUUGCUGGAGACUCGCCUUAAAGUAAUUGGCAGCCGGCCUACUGGUUUCGGAGCGCAGCACAAGUCGCACUCUCUAUCAGCAAAGGUCUAGCACCCAUUAAGCCUUUUUUUCAACUUUUGACCUCGGAUCAGGUAGGGAUACCCGCUGAACUUAAGCAUAUCAAUAAGCGGAGGA
rnacentral:misc_RNA from 1 species